rnacentral:lncRNA from 1 species
UAUUAGCCAGUAGAUGGCAACUUAUGACUAUGCUGAAUGAUUCACUUAUGCAAACAGCUGAGUCGUUCAAAAACCCUUAUUCAUUCAGGAACCAAACCCCACUAGUAGAUCGCGUUACUCAGAGACGCACAGUGAUUAAUUCUGCUGUGGUUUCGUUUGGAUCUAUUUAAGUUCGCGGAGCAAAACAAACACUAGCAUGAUCUUGCACAACACCUCAACCCCAUGAAGCGAAGAUGACAGCUAAGCAACUACCAUGCAAAGAAUGCGAAUGCUAUGGAUGGUUUCCUCCAGACACCCUUGUGAUUUCUCUGCUGUUAAACCAAGCUAUGUCAGGCACUCCCCUUAUUGGAUUUAAACUAUGUUUCUGGGCAAAUAUGAGAAGAAGAGCUCAUUCAUGCUGACGUACUCGAGAGAGUAUUUCCCUCUGCCGCUUUUAUACAACCACAAUCCCAAUGUGUUGGCAGAGUCAUCUGUGAGGAUGUCAUCAGGGACAAAAUUAUAGCUUGUUAUCCUUUUUAUUUUUUUUUGCUUUAUGAUCAGGGGCUUUGUGAAAAA